GUGAUGGGUGAAAAAGGCAAAGUGGAACAUGAUACAAGGACUCAUCUAGAGAAGAAGCAUCAGACGGAUGGACAUGAUGCAACAGAAUUCUUGUCUUGGAUUUUCUGCCACAACAUCGUCAGUUCCAGAGCCCAAGGACGGAGGGGGCAUUGUUCUGGGAAAAGCCAAGCAAACACCAUUUCAGACCUUAACCAAGAGCUGGGAAGUUGGAAAAUUGAUCCAGGAUGCUGGCCUGCAGAAAUCCAUGACUGAGAAACCAAGUGGAAAAACUCUAAGCCAACUAGAAAAAGUCCUCUGGGAUCCAGGUGACAGAUUUUAGAGUCUUCAUAAUCAACUUCAGAUAGUUUAUGGAUGAAGAAACUCCAGAAACUGUUGUUGUCACCAACCUGCUAUGGAGAUGAUGUGUCAGAAUGUUGGGUUCUACCUCUCCCAAUCCUCCUUGCCAGGGGACAAUUCCACCCGAAUCAAGUGAGUGAGAGGGGAUGGAUGUAAUAGACACGAUUAUAGUUAGCAACUGGACUUGAAUAACCAGGGCAAUGUUCUUCAUGCCUACAUAAGGUUGUCAGUG